rnacentral:rRNA from 1 species
AUUGAACGCUGGCGGCAGGCCUAACACAUGCAAGUCGAGCGGAGCGGCUGACGGGUGAGUAAUGCCUAGGUAUCUGCCUGGUAGUGGGGGAUAACGUCCGGAAACGGGCGCUAAUACCGCAUACUAUCAGAUGAGCCUAGGUCGGAUGAGCUAGUUGGUUGGGUAAAGGCUUACAAAGGCGACGAUCCGUAACUGGUCUGAGAGGAUGAUCAGUCACACUGGAACUGAGACACGGCCCAGACUCCUACGGGAGGCAGCAGUGGGGAAUAUUGGACAAGGGGCGAAAUCCUGAUCCAGCCAUGCCGCGUGUGUUAAGAAGGUCUUCGGAUUGUAAAGCACUUUAAGAGGGGAGGCGUUACCAACAGAAUAAGCACCGGCUAACUUCGUGCCAGCAGCCGCGGUAAUAC